rnacentral:rRNA from 1 species
GAUGAACGCUAGCUACAGGCCUAACACAUGCAAGUCGAGGGGCAUCGGGGUUGAAGCUUGCUUCAAUUGCCGGCGACCGGCGCACGGGUGAGUAACGCGUAUCCAACCUUCCGCAUACCCGGGGAUAGCCUUCUGAAAGGGAGAUUAAUACCCGAUGUCAUCAGGGGAUUGCAUGAUAUCCUGAUUAAAGAGCUUCGGUAUGCGAUGGGGAUGCGUUCCAUUAGAUAGUAGGCGGGGUAACGGCCCACCUAGUCUGCGAUGGAUAGGGGUUCUGAGAGGAAGGUCCCCCACAUUGGAACUGGGACACGGUCCAAACUCCUACGGGAGGCAGCAGUGAGGAAUAUUGGUCAAUGGGCGAGAGCCUGAACCAGCCAAGUAGCGUGAAGGAUGAAGGUCCUACGGAUUGUAAACUUCUUUUAUGAGGGAAUAACACCUCCCACGUGUGGGAGCCUGCAUGUACCUCAUGAAUAAGCAUCGGCUAACUCCGUGCCAGCCGCCGCCGUAACAC